UUUUUAUGUUUAUGAUAAUAUUUUGCUAAUAAUCUAACUUUCAAUUCAAAGUUCCGAGUUCGCUGCUCGUCAUUAUUUUAGAAAUCAAGCAUGAAGAUGAAGCCAAAGAACGAAGAAUGAAGAUCCAAAGUCGUCCUUCUGUGUUUUUUAAUUUUUUUUUUGGUUUGCUAAUUGAUAAAUAGUUGUCAAAUAUUUUGGAAAACUAGUUUAAUUAGAUGACUAUUUAUAUAAGCUUUUAAUUUUCAGUAAUGUACUUCCAAUCUAUUGCAUAAACACAUCGUAUAUAAUUUAACAAAAUUGUCGUAAAU
rnacentral:lncRNA from 1 species